CCUACGGGUGGCAGCAGUGGGGAAUAUUGCGCAAUGGGCGAAAGCCUGACGCAGCGACGCCGCGUGAGGGAUGAAGGUCUUCGGAUCGUAAACCUCUGUCAGCAGGGAAGAACGGUCACUGUGCUAAUCAGCAGUGAAUUGACGGUACCUGCAAAGGAAGCACCGGCUAACUCCGUGCCAGCAGCCGCGGUAAUACGGAGGGGGCGAGCGUUAAUCGGAAUUACUGGGCGUAAAGCGCUCGUAGGCGGUAUGUCAAGUCAAGGGUGAAAGCCCCGGGCUCAACGUGGGAACUGCCUUUGAAACGGGCAAACUGGAGUGUGUGAGAGGAUAGUGGAAUUCCAGGUGUAGGAGUGAAAUCCGUAGAUAUCUGGAGGAACAUCAGUGGCGAAGGCGACUAUCUGGCACAUAACUGACGCUGAGGAGCGAAAGCGUGGGUAGCAAACAGGAUUAGAUACCCGGGUAGUC
rnacentral:rRNA from 1 species